AUGGGCCCUUUCAGCCUCCGAAGGGCCUCCAAGGGAGUGGGAAAGGCUGUUUUCGCCCUUCCCAAACAAAUAGAGAGGAUCUGGAGCCAGCAGGUCAGGUAUAUGCAAAACCACUGCCAAACCCAUCCCAUCCCCUGGGAAAGCCCAGGGCAGACUUAUUCAGGAGAACCAGAUCAUCAUCUCAGAAUGGUCCAAAGGAAAGGAAAGGUGAGGAAAUCUUCAGCUGGCCAUAACUUAAUGUAGC